rnacentral:rRNA from 1 species
GACGAACGCUGGCGGCGUGCUUAACACAUGCAAGUCGAACGGAAAGGCCCUGCUUUUGUGGGGUGCUCGAGUGGCGAACGGGUGAGUAACACGUGAGUAACCUGCCCUUGACUUUGGGAUAACUUCAGGAAACUGGGGCUAAUACCGGAUAGGAGCUCCUGCUGCAUGGUGGGGGUUGGAAAGUUUCGGCGGUUGGGGAGGGACUCGCGGCUUAUCAGCUUGUUGGUGGGGUAGUGGCUUACCAAGGCUUUGACGGGUAGCCGUCCUGAGAGGGUGACCGGCCACAUUGGGACUGAGAUACGGCCCAGACUCCUACGGGAGGCAGCAGUGGGGAAUAUUGCACAAUGGGCGGAAGCCUGAUGCAGCAACGCCGCGUGCGGGAUGACGGCCUUCGGGUUGUAAACCGCUUUCGCCUGUGACGAAGCGUGAGUGACGGUAAUGGGUAAAGAAGCACCGGCUAACUACGUG